rnacentral:rRNA from 1 species
UACGAAGGGGGCUAGCGUUGCUCGGAAUCACUGGGCGUAAAGCGCACGUAGGCGGAUUGUUAAGUCGGGGGUGAAAUCCUGGAGCUCAACUCCAGAACUGCCUUCGAUACUGGCGAUCUUGAGUCCGGGAGAGGUGAGUGGAACUCCGAGUGUAGAGGUGAAAUUCGUAGAUAUUCGGAAGAACACCAGUGGCGAAGGCGGUUCACUGGCCCGGUACUGACGCUGAGGUGCGAAAGCGUGGGGAGCAAAUAGG